GUUUAUGAAUAAGGUGAAUUACUGUACAUCUGUAUAUGUAUAUUAAAGUAACCAACUGACCUCCUUCAACAAAUAAUUCCUCUCGUAUUUCUUUUUCUAAUUCAGAAAUACGAGAGGAAUUAUUUGUAGUACUGCAGGUCAGGUUUUUUACAAGCGUACAAGAUAGGGGAGAGGGAGACAUUUGAAAGAUAAUAGUAAUAAAUGCAAGGAUAUCAGGUAAUUUUACCAAAAACUAAAUGACCUUCGACAUGCUCCCCCUAUGUAUAUUAAACCAACUGACCUCCUUCAACGAAUAAUUCCUCUCGUAUUUCUUUUUCUAAUUCAGAAGGCGUGAGAUACUCUCUGCCAUCUGUAGUAUAAAUCACAUCAAUAAGCCCAAGGUUGAUCAGUUUUUGAACAAGUUCCACACAAUUUCGUUCAGAUAGUUUAUGAGAAGUGCUACUAAGCUGUGCUCUCUGAAAAUCAGCUGCCAAACGCUUUACUUCUUCCCAAUCACCCAUUUUAUUUUCUUGUGUUUAUAUUUUAUUUUAAUUUUUGGUUUUUUUUCUCCUAAAUUUGAUCAAAACAACAGUGAACAGCAAAGACACGUAUUUUUCUACUCCUGAGCCCAUGGUAAUCC